GACGAACGCUGGCGGCGUGCUUAACACAUGCAAGUCGAACGGAAAGGCGCUGCUUUUGUGGGGUGCUCGAGUGGCGAAGGGGUGAGUAACACGUGAGUAACCUGCCCUUGACUUUGGGGUAACUUCAGGAGACUGGGGCGAAUACCGGAUAGGAGCUGCUGCUGCAUGGGGGGGGUUGGAAAGUUUCGGCGGUUGGGGAUGGACUCGCUGCUUAUCAGCUUGUUGGGGGGGUAGUGGCUUACCACGUCUUUGACGGGUAGCCUGCCUGAGAGGGUUGACGGCCACAUUGGGCCUGAGAUACGGCGCAGAAUGCAACGGGAGGCAGCAGUGGGGAAUAUUGCACAACGGGCGGAAGCCUGAUGAAGCAACGCUGCGUGCGUGAUGCUGGCCUUCGGGUUGUAAACCGCUUUCGACUGUGACGAAGAGUGAGUGACGGUAAUGGGUAAAGAAGCACCGGCUAACUACGUG
rnacentral:rRNA from 1 species